rnacentral:rRNA from 1 species
AACGAACGCUGGCGGCAUGCCUAACACAUGCAAGUCGAACGAAGGCUUCGGCCUUAGUGGCGCACGGGUGAGUAACGCGUGGGAAACUGCCUAUUGGUGGGGAAUAACGACGGGAAAAUGUCGCUAAUACCGCAUAAGCCCUUCGGGGGAAAGAUUUAUCGCCAAUAGAUGUGCCCGCGUCCGAUUAGCUAGUUGGUGAGGUAAUGGCUCACCAAGGCGACGAUCGGUAGCUGGUCUGAGAGGAUGAUUAGCCACACUGGGACUGAGACACGGCCCAGACUCCUACGGGAGGCAGCAGUGGGGAAUAUUGGACAAUGGGCGAAAGCCUGAUCCAGCAAUGCCGCGUGAGUGAUGAAGGCCUUAGGGUUGUAAAGCUCUUUCGGGUGGGACGAUGAUGACGGUACCACCAGAAGAAGCCCCGGCUAACUUCGUGCCAGCCGCCGCCGUAA